AGCGAACGCUGGCGGCAGGCCUAACACAUGCAAGUCGAACGAACGCAUCGGAGUUGCUGGCGGUCGGGGGAGGAACACGGGGGAAGGUGCCGGUUGGUACGGAAUAACCCUUUUAAACGUGGGCUAAUACCGGAAGUGUCCGUCGAAUACACGAUUCAUCGCCAGUGGAAAGGCAGGGGUCUUCUUAGCUUGGUGGCGAGGAAAAGGCCCACGAAGGCUACGCUCAUUAGCUGGUCUGAGAGGAUGAUCGGCUACAUUGGGACUGAGACACGUUCCAGACACCUACGGUAGGCAGCAGUGCGGAAUAUUGCACAAUGGGCGCAAGCCUGAUCCAGCCAUACCGCGUGAGGGAAGAAGGCCUUCGGGUUGUAAAGUCCUGUUGUUGGGAAAGAAAAGCAGCAGUUUAAUAGCCCGCUGUUCUGACGGUACCCAAAGAAGAAGCACCGGCUAACUUCGUG
rnacentral:rRNA from 1 species